CCUACGGGUGGCAGCAGUGGGGAAUAUUGCACAAUGGGGGAAACCCUGAUGCAGCGACGCCGCGUGAAGGAAGAAGUAUUUCGGUAUGUAAACUUCUAUCAGCAGGGAAGAAAAUGACGGUGCCUGACUAAGAAGCCCCGGCUAACUACGUGCCAGCAGCCGCGGGAAUACGUAGGGGGCAAGCGUUAACCGGAUUUACUGGGGGUAAAGGGAGCGGAGGCGGUUUAGCAAGUCAGAAGUGAAAGCCCGGGGCUCAACUCCGGGACUGCUUUUGAAACUGUUGAACUAGAGUGCUGUAGAGGUAAGUGGAAUUCCUAGUGUAGCGGUGAAAUGCGUAGAUAUUAGGAGGAAUACCAGUGGCGAAGGCGGCCUCCUGGACUGUAAAUGACGCUGAGGUUCGAAAGCGUGGGGAGCAAACAGGAUUAGAUACCCCUGUAGUC
rnacentral:rRNA from 1 species